AGAGGAAUAGCUGGGUCAAAUGGUGGUUUUAUUCCCAGUUUUCCAAGGAAUCUCUAUACUGCUUUCCAUAAGAAUUGCACCAAUUUGCAGUCCCACCAGCAAU
rnacentral:pre_miRNA from 1 species